AAAGAUAGUACCAUUCCAAUGGACAGUUUUUAAUAGUAAUAUAAAACAUUUUUGUUUCUUUUCUUAUUCUAAUUAAGAUUUUAGAAUUAUUUUUAAUUUAAGUUACAUUAUUGUAAUAUUCAUUUAAUAGCCAGUUAUCAGGUUUUAAAUCCCUUCUAAAGGCCAAAUAUAUAUACAAAUUAAAAUGGAUCUUUAUCAGUUAUCUAAGCAGAAUACAAUUGCUUCAACCCCAAGUGAAGUCAUUACACUUAUAGCAGACAUUACAUUAGCAAAGUUCUUUUACCAACCUUCUGCUGACAGGCUUGGCUUGUAUUUAUGAAUCAAACCUUCUUUUUGUAGAUACUGUGCCAACUGUGAGUGGUUACUAAUUCAUCUAGAUGAAGAUGCAAAGGAAUCCAGAAGAUUGCAGUAUAUUAAUAAAUCAAUUGUUAGGCAAGGUAAAGAGAAAAAUCAUGAAAUUAAAAGAUAUAACAUUUCAGUAAAAAUAGUAAAACCAUGCCUAAAAGAUUCAAGAUUGACUUGCAUUUGGGAACAUAAGAUCAGAAAAAUGGCUAUUGUCCCUACUGAACAGUAUUACACAAUGCUUCAAGAAUAUAUAGAUAUCUUGAGUGCAGUAUAUCUAGACAAAGACCUAACUCACUACUCAUCCAUCAAAUUCAGUAGCCAAAUUAAUAAAAUCUGAGCACUUCCUGGAAUGCACUAGGAUGUUAAUAAAAUCAAGAAUCCAGCAUGUCAGUCUUAAGAUGCAUAAAAAUCCUGUCCCCAUUCCACUUAUGAUUGACAAAACCAAAUCUCAAUAUAUCAUCUUGAGAGGAGGAUUGCGUAAUGGUGCUUACAAGACUACACUCAUAUGAAUAUAUCAUUGGCUCUAGAGCUUCUUAUUGAAAGACUUAUGGAAACGCCAUCUUUCAGAGGAAAUUGUCUUUACUUUGGAUUUCCAGAACCUAUUUCCACCUAUCAAAUUAUCUUCAGCUUAUUUCUUGCUAUAUUGUUUCAUCUUACAUCACAUGCCAGAAGGAGCUACUACUCAGAUCUUAUAUGUGAUUUCUGUCAUAUGCUAGUUUAUUAUUCCUACUUUCAAUUUUCUAGAAUGUAUUACAAACAGACACUGGGAGUUCCAAUUGCUGCCUUAUGGCCAGUAUGAUGGCUGAAUUAGUUUUCCUGUUUAAAAAGUAUCAGGUGAUUCCAUCUCUCAAACAUUACAUCAAACUAUACAUUAGAUAUGUUGAUGAUAUAUGUGUGAGCUGAAGCAACCAAGAAAUGAAAUGAGCUCUGUAUAAAUAUGUCUGAUGAUAUUCUAGGCCUGAUAUUAAAAUGUGAACAAUCCUCUAAUGCCACAGUGCACUUUCUAGAUUUAAAUAUUGAUAUUACAAGUCCAGAAUACAAGCUGAAUUCAGAAAACACAUGCAUUUGCCUGUAAUAAUUUCAUCAUAUUAUUACAAAAAAUAUGGCAUUAAUUUAAAACAUUUUUUAGAAGGGUUGAGAUGCAUUGCUCUACACCUGAGUCUAGACUUAAGAUAGGGUUUUCCAAAUUGUGGGGCCCAAGUCUAUUGCAAGAUGGCACAUAAGAAUUAAUAAAAACAUCAUUUUUGAGACAAAUGAAAGAUAAAUUCAAAUUG
rnacentral:lncRNA from 1 species